CUUCUCACUACAUCCUCGCGACUAAUGACAACCCUUAUUCACCUGGCGGAAUAAAGUCUCUCAUUAGCCGCGCGAACCUCUGUAACGGAAGAUCCUCGUUAGUACAUUAACCUGAUUUACUUAUGCUUCCUAGAAGAAAGGGGCCAAAAUAGGCCCCUUUCC
rfam:Serratia marcescens FGI94, complete genome.